AGAGGCAAACGCUUCAAUGGUCCCGCGCAAGCGGGUUAAUAGGGAACUCCGUCACGCACUGGUCAGACGACCGUCCAGGCGCAAAGUCGGAGGCUGCUCCCGCAACUGUAGGCGGUAUGCCGCUGGUUCGUUCGCUCUGAACGUGGACCACUGUUCCCAUAGGGGACGGGAAGGUUGGAACCGGUUGGCCAUGAUCCGUGAGCCAGGAGACCUGCCAUUGCUCAGCCACCAAC
rnacentral:ncRNA from 2 species